CGUUCUCAUUCGUUUAGGUUUCUACUGCAGUUGCGGGAAACUGUACAAAUCGAAGGGGACGCUGAACCGCCACCGCAAGUACGAAUGUGGCAAAGAGGCGCAGUUCUUCUGCGACCUGUGUAAUUUCAAGGCAAAACGGAGAGACAACUACAUACAACACAAAAUAAUGGAUUCACUUGUAACUAUUGCGGCUUGGUAUGCAAGACAAAUUACAGUUUUAUACGUCACAUCGCUUAUUUCUGCAGAAAGAGGAAGCCGUACAAAUGCAAAGUGUGUGGACGCAAAUAUCACCAGAAGCACACGUACCUCGCGCACCGAAGAAAAAAGUGUCACACAAAAGAAUCCAGACAAAAUUGUAGGAUUACAAGACAGAAGGCAUGUUCUAGAAGGAUUACAAGAUCUUCAGCAAAUGGCCUCCAUUCAGAUUUAAAUUGUGCGACUUCAAAUGGCAAAGCCUCUAAUAAGACAUCUAAUGAAUAUAUUCACGCAACUCUAAAAGGUGCAGUGAAGGGUAAAAGAAUCGUCAUGAUAAGACAGCAAAACGCAUCAAAAAGGACUCCGCUAUGAAAAUCAGCCUUUAUAUAAUUUAUAAUAGUAGUUAGCCAAUUUUUACUUAACAUCCAUUUUUGUAGUUUUAAAUUUUUAUUGUAGUAACUUUUUUUAAAAUCUAACUGUAUGACGUCUUUCUGCAUGACACAUUUAAUAAAAUAAAUAUAAUAAUUUUCAACUUG